CAGUAGAAUACAUUUAUGCACUUUGAUAUAUCAUAUAUAGAUGGGAUAUGAUUUCUCUUUUUUCUGAUUGUACAUGUUGUAGACUCACAUUAGUCGUGCAGUCAUAUAUAUACAUGAAGUAAUAAUGUCUCAUUCUACUAUCUUUCCUAUUCCCACAUUCUCUCCUCUCCCCUCCCUUCACUCCCCUCUAUCUAAUCUAAAGUACCUCUGUUCUUCCCUAGUACUCCCCUGCCUUAUUGUGAAUUAGCAUCCACACAUUAGAGAAAACACGCGGCCUUUGGUUUUUUGGAAUUGACUUAUUUCACUUAGUAUGAUAUUCUCCAAC
rnacentral:lncRNA from 1 species